rnacentral:ncRNA from 1 species
UUGAGCGUAGUGCGGUGAAAGUCGCAAGCUGCGUUCUUAGAGGGCGAACAUGCAGUAAUGUGUGUUUUCGCUACUCGAC